rnacentral:rRNA from 1 species
CCCAGUAAACGGCGGCCGUAACUAUAACGGUCCUAAGGUAGCGAAAUUCCUUGUCGGGUAAGUUCCGACCCGCACGAAAGGCGUAACGAUUUGGGCACUGUCUCAACGAGAGACUCGGUGAAAUCAUAGUACCUGUGAAGAUGCAGGUUACCCGCGACAGGACGGAAAGACCCCGUGGAGCUUUACUGUAGCCUGAUAUUGAAAUUCGGCACAGCUUGUACAGGAUAGGUAGGAGCCUUUGAAACGUGAGCGCUAGCUUACGUGGAGGCGCUGGUGGGAUACUACCCUAGCUGUGUUGGCUUUCUAACCCGCACCACUUAUCGUGGUGGGAGACAGUGUCAGGCGGGCAGUUUGACUGGGGCGGUCGCCUCCUAAAAGGUAACGGAGGCGCUCAAAGGUUCCCUCAGAAUGGUUGGAAAUCAUUCAUAGAGUGUAAAGGCAUAAGGGAGCUUGACUGCGAGACCUACAAGUCGAGCAGGGUCGAAAGACGGACUUAGUGAUCCGGUGGUUCCGCAUGGAAGGGCCAUCGCUCAACGGAUAAAAGCUACCCCGGGGAUAACAGGCUUAUCUCCCCCAAGAGUUCACAUCGACGGGGAGGUUUGGCACCUCGAUGUCGGCUCAUCGCAUCCUGGGGCUGUAGUCGGUCCCAAGGGUUGGGCUGUUCGCCCAUUAAAGCGGUACGCGAGCUGGGUUCAGAACGUCGUGAGACAGUUCGGUCCCUAUCCGUCGUGGGCGUAGGAAAUUUGAGAGGAGCUGUCCUUAGUACGAGAGGACCGGGAUGGACAUACCUCUGGUGUACCAGUUGUCGUGCCAACGGCAUAGCUGGGUAGCUAUGUGUGGACGGGAUA